GGGGCUGCUGGGGGCUGGGGUUUUCUUCUUGUAGCCCUGGCCUCUAGCGUGGGCCAGAAGCUUCCAGCCGCGCUUGCAGCUGCUCACCCUGACACUACAUCUGCUGGUGCACAGUCCUGAGGCACAAGUCUGUUGAGGAGCGGCCGAGGGAGCUGGGGGGGCUCAGCAGGCUCAGGGGAACCUUCUCGCUCCCUGCGACUACCUUACAUUACAAGAGGUUGUGGCCAGUUUCUAGGCUCUACAGAGACCUGAAGAGAAAUGUCCAUGGAACUGCGGUUUUAAUAUGUGUGCACUGAAGCAAAGCUACAGAGGAGCCUGACCUACAGCAGCAGAAAUACCUGAUGCACUGCUCAAAAUUAGGGAAUUCCCUUUACACAGGAUGUAGGGUGAUGACGCCUGACCCUCUCAAUGGAUGGGACCUGGUGCCUCUGCUGUUGGUAGCUGGUUUCCAGUCCUGUCUCCUCUGCUGCUGCCUCUGGAUGGGCCUAGGACCUGACUCUUCUGCUGUGUCUGAGAGCUGGUGGACCCUGUUACCAGAAUCCUGCCCUCCCUGCUUGCUCAGACUGGACCCUUUUUGAGGAGUGCCCUGCUGUGCUGGGGUUACCCUGGGCUCCUGGCUUGGCCCCUGCAUGGGGCAGCCCUCAGCUCCUUGGCUGCGUCCACUGCCUGCUGUCUCUUUGCUUGGCUGGGUGGAUGGCAGGUGACAGGGGUUAGUGCUGCAAGAAUCCCCCCAAAAGAGUCAGCUCUUGGUUUGUGGUAAGCUGUAGAUGGCUGGGAGAAAAUCAUAGAAUCUUAGAAUGGUUUGGGCUGAAGGGGACCUUAAAGAUUAUCUAGUUCUAACGCCCUGCUAUAGGUACGGACAACUUUUAUUAGCCCAGGUUCCUCCAAGCCUUGUCCAGCCUGGCCUUGAACACUUCCAGGGACUGGGCAACCACAGAUUUUCUGGGCAACCUGUUCUAGUGUGUCACCAUCCUCAUAGAGAAGAAUUUCCUCCUAAUAUCCCAUUUAAAUCUGCCCUUUGUCAGUGUGAAGCCAUUCCCCCUUGUCCUGCCACUCCAGGCUCUUU